AACGAACGCUGGCGGCAGGCCUAACACAUGCAAGUCGAGCGAGCAUUUCGGUGCUAGCGGCGGACGGGUGAGUAACGCGUGGGAACGUGCCCUUUUCUGCGGAAUAGUCCUGGGAAACUGGGGGUAAUACCGCAUACGCCCUUUUGGGGAAAGAUUUAUCGGAGAAGGAUCGGCCCGCGUUGGAUUAGGUAGUUGGUGGGGUAAUGGCCCACCAAGCCGACGAUCCAUAGCUGGUUUGAGAGGAUGAUCGGCCACACUGGGACUGAGACACGGCCCAGACUCCUACGGGAGGCAGCAGUGGGGAAUCUUAGACAAUGGGGGCAACCCUGAUCUAGCCAUGCCGCGUGAGUGAUGAAGGCCUUAGGGUUGUAAAGCUCUUUCAGCUGGGAAGAUAAUGACGGUACCAGCAGAAGAAGCCCCGGCUAACUCCGUG
rnacentral:rRNA from 1 species